rnacentral:rRNA from 1 species
CGGGAUAACAACCUGGAAACAGAUGCUAAUACCGGAUAACAACAGAUGAUGCCUAUCAACUGUUUAAAAGAUGGUUCUGCUAUCACUCUUGGAUGGACCUGCGGUGCAUUAGCUAGUUGGUAGGGUAACGGCCUACCAAGGCGAUGAUGCAUAGCCGAGUUGAGAGACUGAUCGGCCACAUUGGGACUGAGACACGGCCCAAACUCCUACGGGAGGCAGCAGGU